rnacentral:rRNA from 1 species
AUACGUAGGUGGCGAGCGUUGUCCGGAAUUACUGGGCGUAAAGGAUGCGUAGGUGGAUACUUAAGUGGGAUGUGAAAUCCCCCGGGCUCAACCCGGGAACUGCAUUCCAAACUGGGUACCUAGAGUGCAGGAGAGGAAAGCGGAAUUCCUAGUGUAGCGGUGAAAUGCGUAGAUAUUAGGAGGAACACCAGUGGCGAAGGCGGCUUUCUGGACUGUAACUGACACUGAGGCAUG